rfam:Aedes aegypti strain Liverpool supercont1.505 genomic scaffold, whole genome shotgun sequence.
GGCUAGGUAGCUUAGUUGGUAAAGCGCUCGUUUAGCAUACAAGAGUCCUGGGUUCGAAUCACAGCCGAGCAC